rnacentral:rRNA from 1 species
CGGACGGGUGAGUAAUGUCUGGGAAACUGCCCGAUGGAGGGGGAUAACUACUGGAAACGGUAGCUAAUACCGCAUAACGUCGCAAGACCAAAGAGGGGGACCUUCGGGCCUCUUGCCAUCGGAUGUGCCCAGAUGGGAUUAGCUAGUAGGUGGGGUAACGGCUCACCUAGGCGACGAUCCCUAGCUGAUCUGAGAGGAUGACCAGCCACACUGGAACUGAGACACGGUCCAG